UGAGGAACAUGACCUUCGGCGGGGGAUAGCCGGCCCAACGGCCGGGUAAUACCGCGUACGACCACAUGGGGACAUCCCUGAGUGGUGAAAGCAGCAAUGCGCCGAUGGAGUGCCUCGCGGCCUAUCAGCUAGUUGGUGAGGUAACGCUCACCAAGGCGACGACGGGUAGCUGGUCUGAGAGGAUGGCCAGCCACAGUUGGGACUGAGACACGGCCCAGACCUCGUACGGGGAG
rnacentral:rRNA from 1 species